rnacentral:rRNA from 1 species
CAGUAGCCGCGGUAAUACGUAGGGUGCAAGCGUUAAUCGGAAUUACUGGGCGUAAAGCGUGCGCAGGCGGUUCUAUAAGACAGAUGUGAAAUCCCCGGGCUCAACCUGGGAACUGCAUUUGUGACUGUAGAGCUGGAGUGCGGCAGAGGGGGAUGGAAUUCCGCGUGUAGCAGUGAAAUGCGUAGAUAUGCGGAGGAACACCGAUGGCGAAGGCAAUCCCCUGGGCCUGCAUUGACGCUCAUGCACGAAAGCGUGGGGAGCAAACAGGAUUAGAUACCCGAGUAGUCCCUGUCUCUUAUAC